UGCCCGCAGGCUCCGCGCUGGGUAGAUGCCCGCACCCGGGGCUAAAGCGGCGUUCCGACGUCCGGUCUGCGUUGGCUCCGGGAUCCCGCCACCCAUCAAGGGGGAGGUAUUGCUGUCUCCUGGUGGCCGUUUGUGGCGCCUGACGCCUUGAUGCUAAGGGGCUGGAGCUUUGCUGGAUACCAGUUGUGGGACCUUGAACACUGCACUGUGACUGAGGGCAGCGACCCCAUCUGGGUAAAGCUGGGGCCACCGUGCUGUCUAAAUCAGGAGGAGGAGCCUCUGAACUGAAUCUCCAAAUACCCACUGCUCUCUAAAGCAUCCCCAGGUCUUCUGCCUCUCUCCCUGGAGUGCCUGUCCCUUCCUGAGGAUGCUGCUCCUGCAGGGUUUUUAUGUUCUGGUUACGUCCUAGCUGAGUUUUGGGCA
rnacentral:lncRNA from 1 species